rnacentral:rRNA from 1 species
UACAGAGGGGGCAAGCGUUGUUCGGAAUUACUGGGCGUAAAGGGCGCGUAGGCGGCCUUCUAAGUCGAACGUGAAAUCCCCGGGCUCAACCCGGGAACUGCGUCCGAUACUGGAAGGCUUGAAUCCGGGAGAGGGAUGUGGAAUUCCAGGUGUAGCGGUGAAAUGCGCAGAUAUCAGGAGGAACACCAAUGGCGAAGGCAGCACUCUGGGACGUGACUGACGCUGAGACGCGAAGCGUGGGGAGCAAACAGG